CAAAACUUGGAGUCUGACUUUGUCUUCAUUGCAAUCAUUUUUACAAACUUCUGGCUAUAAAGAUUUCCUUUGUGGGAGAAAUGUCAUGAUUACAAAGAAAUCCAAAUCAGUCCAAGAUCAUUUUGCCAAUUGUUUUGCUAUGCAGACAAAAUAGAAAUCUCGUGAAUCUCAGCAAUAUCUUUAAGGUGGAAAAUUCUCGGCUGGAUCAAGGUCAUAAUUCUAUGAACUCUGCUUUGGGGGCUGUUAAUUAAAAAGUCUUUGGCUAAAACCACAUUGAGAGGAAGAACUGGAAUCCAGGACUCAUCCUUCUAGCAGAGUGUGCUUAUUUGCAGAUGCCAGAGUCUGCAGUCUGUGUUCUUCACUAGGCCACCAAAUAUGUCCAGCCUUUAGCAGGAAGACGGAACAAAAUAUCCAAUACAGAGGUUAAUUUCAUCCACUUCUGACAAGACUUUCCUGUUCAGAAAAGAAGGAUUAAUAAACCACAGUCACUCACUGUCUAACCACUAGUCUGCAGCAGCUUGCAUCAAAUACGAGACUGACAUGUCAUUGCUUCUUGUCAUUCAUAUUGUUCACUACACUGAUUUGGUCAUCUCAAAGCAGGAGAGAUAGAGAAAAGGCUGGGUCCCACUGGAAUCUGAGUUCAAAAUGUGUAGAAGAUGACAGAGUGUACAUGAGUUUCUCAGCUUAUAGUCAUGAAGCAAACACAGACCUGGACAGUGGGAUAGUUUAUUUUCGGUGAGGAGAAACUGACAAAAGCUGCUCUACCGCUCUAAUGUUCCAGAGUCUAGAUCCCUCAACAGUCCAACCAGCAUCCUUGCUUGACAGAGAUGGUAACCUUCAAGGAAACAAUAGUAAAUUCUUCACUGGUUUUAUUGUUGUUGCUGAAGAUGAAUGAAUAGGCCCAGCAUAGGCAUCUGAAUGCAUAUCAGAGUAUGCAAAGAAGAGCAAGUGAUGUAUACAAUAGUUGGGAUGAAGGAGUAAAGAAUGUUUUUGCAUGGAAAAUACACGACCAUGACAUCAGAGGAGGAUGCUGGUAGUAUGGCAGUAGAGGGUGA
ensembl:lncRNA